rnacentral:rRNA from 1 species
AACGAACGCUGGCGGCAGGCUUAACACAUGCAAGUCGAGCGCCCCGCAGGGGGAGCGGCAGACGGGUGAGUAACGCGUGGGAAUCUACCCAUCUCUACGGAACAACUCCGGGAAACUGGAGCUAAUACCGUAUACGUCCUUCGGGAGAAAGAUUUAUCGGAGAUGGAUGAGCCCGCGUUGGAUUAGCUAGUUGGUGGGGUAAUGGCCUACCAAGGCGACGAUCCAUAGCUGGUCUGAGAGGAUGAUCAGCCACACUGGGACUGAGACACGGCCCAGACUCCUACGGGAGGCAGCAGUGGGGAAUAUUGGACAAUGGGCGAAAGCCUGAUCCAGCCAUGCCGCGUGAGUGAUGAAGGCCCUAGGGUUGUAAAGCUCUUUCGCAGGUGAAGAUAAUGACGGUAACCUGAGAAGAAGCCCCGGCUAACUUCGUGCCAGCAGCCGCGGUAACAC